rnacentral:rRNA from 1 species
GAUGAACGCUGGCGGCGUGCCUAAUACAUGCAAGUCGAGCGAACAGACGGGGAGAUUGCUCCUCUGACGUUAGCGGCGGACGGGUGAGUAACACGUGGAUAACCUACCUAUAAGACUGGGAUAACUUCGGGAAACCGGAGCUAAUACCGGAUAAUAUAUUGAACCGCAUGGUCAAAUAGUGAAAGACGGUUUUGAUGUCACUUAUAGAUGGAUCCGCGCCGCAUUAGCUAGUUGGUAAGGUAACGGCUUACCAAGGCAACGAUGCGUAGCCGACCUGAGAGGGUGCUCGGCCACACUGGAACUGAGACACGGUCCAGACUCCUACGGGAGGCAACAGUAGGGAAUCUUCCGCCAUGGGCGCAAGCCUGACGGAGCAACGCCGCGUGCGUGAUGAAGGUCUUCGGAUCGUAAAACUCUGUUAUUCGGGACGACCAAAUGUGUAAGUAACUAUGCACGUCUUGACGGUACCUAAUCAGAAAGCCGCGGCUAACUACGUG